rnacentral:lncRNA from 1 species
CAGAAGCCCCAGACCCCCAUCGUGUGCCUGUGGCCUCUACAGCAGCCACAGUGCCCCUAAAGCGUCUGCAGAAGACUCGGCCUCACCGCCACCCUGCUCUGGGGCUGCGAUGGGUAGGAGGAGGGUCAUCCUCCAUGCCACCCUUGCAGCCGGCUUGAGCCACCACAGCAGGAGCCACUGAGCAGGCAGCUGCGACGGCACAAACCUGCUUCUGCACAGUGAAAGAUGAAGUCACUGAGACCGGUCCCUUCCAAGCCCUCUCUGCUAGGCUGGCUCCAUCUGCAAAGAUGUCACCCCGAGGUGCCGGGUUAGGACUCCAACGCAUGCAUCUUCAGGGCACCGUGUGGUCCUUGGCAGCGGAUUUGAGCACAUAGCUGCAGCACUUCAGUCACCAGAGCCACCCAGAGAGGCAGGGCUCCUGUCUCUCCCCAGCCCAUGCCUGCUCCGAGGGCUUCCUUCUGGCUCAGGGCCUUGUUUCCAGCAACCCCUGCUUUGUGGUGAUGAGGACUGUCAGGAUUCAAGAGAGCAGGACUCUUCUGAAACAGCGUGACACACGUCAUCCUAGGAAGCCCCAGCACCCAGCGCCGAGGUACACCCAGGACCUUGGUGUGAUUGGCAUCGAGGCACUGAGGCCAGCAGGGUGCUGUCGGCGAUGCUGUGGACUUGGCUGGGAGCCCAGGCUUGGAUCCUGGCUGGGCCAUGUUGCAAGGGCCUCCCCACCUAGCAAAACUCCAAAUCAGAGCCGAGAAGGCAGAGAAGAUAACCUGUCCCCUUUCCAGAGCCCAUGGUGGGCCGAGGGUCCACUGCCUCACAGACCUCCUCCCGGGGUCUGCGGUGACCCAGCCCCACACCCCACCACUCUCUGGCAGCCCUGGGGCUCAGAGCUUCCCAAAGCAUUCUCCUCUCUUGGACUCCGUGGCACUGAGUCAGCAUCUCCAUCCCCCAGCAAGGCAAGGAAAAGGUGGCAGGAAAGACCUCAUCUACCGCGGGACUGUCUCAACCCAGGAGAGACGUGCUCCUCCGAGCAAGCCUGUUCCCCGAGUUUGGGACAGGCUCAUGGCAGAGCCUUUCCGUGAGGACUUCAAACCGGGUCCUCUGGGCUUCUUCUCCUCUCGGCCUGAUCCUCAGCUUCUGUCUGACCCUGAUCCUUCAUUCGGAGUCCUGCAAAGUCAGUCUGGAGCCCGUCUCGCAGUCCUGACAGCUGCUCCCCCUCAGUAGAUGGUCACUCGACCCCAGAAAACCUCUGCUCUCCCACGUGCCUGCAGCAGGCGUCCUCUCCCCUGGUCAAGUCAAAUCCUUGUUCCCGUGGCUCCUCUCAGUUUCCACGUCAG